CGCAGCGCCGUGCGCCGCUUGUCUGGCUGGUGACGAGAGUCGUCCACCGAACGGGGGAGCUAUUCGAUAUUAUAUCAAUUUCGGUAAUUGCAUGCUACUGUUUUUCCGCUGUAAUUUCUAUACCUAUGAUUUUGUGCUUUUUGGGGUAGUUGUGUUUCGUGUUAUUAUUGUUUUUUCUUUUGUCUUUGCGUUUUUUAUUCUUAUCUAUUUUAUUGUGUAUUAGUUAACCAUUUUUAUUGGCGGUUUAAAAAAUUUUAAUAAUAAACAAUGGGUAAACGAAAGGAGGGUAAAAAAGAUGUGUAUUAUAUUAAUAAAAAAUCUUUAAAACAGAGAAUGAAACAAGCCCGAUCUAAUAAAAUAAAUAAUUUAAGAACUGCAUCUGAAACUUUUAAAAAUACUGUUUCUGUUAAAAAUACUGUUUCUGUCGACUAUCUAGAAGAAAAGGCUCGCGAGGAAUCCAGGUUAGUAUAGGAUUUUUUAUAAGCAUUUAGAGAAGUGCCUUUUUUAACUUUUUAAUGUUUUUAAGGUAACUUUUUUGAGUAUUUAGAAUUUACAACAACAUUAUCCUGAAAAAUACAACAUAUUCCAUAGAAAAAUAACUUUCAUUUAUUACAGUAAUGAUUUCAUUUAUUACCCUCGUGUGGUUAUAAUUAUCAAGAUUCUCAGCAACAAAUAUCGCCAACAAUUUUGAAUAAUUAUAGUGAGUUAAAUGUUGAAGAUUCUAUGAGUAUAGAAAAUGAUAAUAAACUUGAAAAUGGUGCUAAAAGUCAAAGCCAACAAGAAAAUAAUUUAGAAUCGGCGAAAAAAAGAAAAAAGUG